UACGUAGGGAGCAAGCGUUGUUCGGAUUUACUGGGCGUAAAGGGCUCGUAGGCGGCCAACUAAGUCAGACGUGAAAUCCCUCGGCUUAACCGGGGAACUGCGUCUGAUACUGGAUGGCUGGAGUUUGGGAGAGGGAUGCGGAAUUCCAGGUGUAGCGGUGAAAUGCGUAGAUAUCUGGAGGAACACCCGUGGCGAAGGCGGCUCUCUGGGACGGUACUGACGCUGAUGCGCGAAAGCGUGGGUAGCAAACAGG
rnacentral:rRNA from 1 species